rnacentral:rRNA from 1 species
AUUGAACGCUGGCGGCAGGCCUAACACAUGCAAGUCGAACGAGUCGCGGACGGGUGUGUAAUGUGUGGGACACUGCCCGAUGGCGGGGGAUAACUCCUGGAACCGGUAGUUAAUACGGCUAACCAUUGGAUGUGCCCAGAGGGGAUUAGCUAGUAGGUGGUGUAACGGCUCACCUAGGCCACGAUCCAUAGCGGGUAUGAGAGGAUGACAGGCCACACUGGAACUGAGACACGGUCCAGACUCCUACGGGAGGCAGCAGUAGGGAAUAUUUCACAAUGGGCGAAAGCCUGAUGCAGCCACGCCGCGUGUAUGAAGAAGGCCUUCGGGUCGUAAAAUUCUUUCAGCGGGGAGGCGGUACUCGAAGAAGAAGCAACGGCUAACUCCGUGCCAGCAGCCGCGGUAAUUC